AGACAGGAAUGUCACUCCUGGGAUGGAGAAAAGAAAAUAAACUGCUUGGUCAGCUCCUAUUUUUCCAAGGAAAGAAGGUGGAAAGUUUGGCUUUGCAGAGUCUAAAGCAAACCAAAAGAUCACAGCAUUUAAAAUGGAGAAGGCCCCUGUUGACACCUCCAAUGUAGAGGAGAAAGCAGAAGAAAUCAUUGCUGAAGCUGAGCCUCCUUCAGAGGUGUAUCCUUAUUGGUUGCAUUUAUUUAUUUUGCCUCCAGGAGUUAUUGCUGAGGCUCAGUGCCUGCACCAUGAAUCCACUGCUCCUGGAGGCCAUUUUUUUCCCCUUUUGUUGCCCUUGUUGUUGUGGCCUUGUUGUGGUUAUUAUUGUUAUUGUUGAUGUCGUUCGUUGUUGGAUAAGACAGAGAGAAAUGGAGAGAGGAGGGGAAGACACAGAGAGGGAGAGAAAGACAGACACCUGCAGACCUGCUUCACCGCCUGUGAAGCGACUCCCCUGCAGGUGGGGAGCCAGGGGCUCAAACCGGGAUCCUUAUGCCAGUCCUUGCACUUGGGAUCACAUGCGCUUAACCUGCUGCGCUACCGCCCGACCCCUAAAACGAGACACUUUAAUGCCCACACAUCAUUGCUAUUUAAGACUCACCCAGCCUAAUAUGGAAGAAGAAUAGCUCUACUACACAUGAAUAUGGACCCAACCAUGACUCAGACUGUCUCAAAUGCUUUGAGACAGUCUGAUAUGUCCAUAUUGUAAACCAAAUC